CACACACACACACACACACACACACUUAAAACAAUGAUGUCUCUUAUUCUAAUGCUGUGGACACUCGGUCUGCUCGCUCAAGUGUCUCAUCAAGAGGUUCAGUCUCCUGAGUCUCUGAGUGUUAAAGCAGGAGAGUCCGUCUCUAUGAGCUGCACUGGGACCAGCGGAGUUGGUGAUGACAUGAGCUGGUAUCUGCUGAAACCUGGAGAAGCUCCUAAACUCCUGAUCUAUACAGCAAGUGAACUUGAAUCUGGAGUCCCAGAUCGGUUCAGUGGAAGUGGAAAUGAACCUGAUUUUACACUGAACAUUCGUGGAGUCCAGCCUGAGGAUGCAGGAGUUUAUUUCUGUAUGGGGUUUUAUUCUGAUCCAGCGUUCACACAGUGAAACAACAUCGUACAAAAACUUCCCUCAGUCAGACAGUACAAUGAAUUUACUCAAGAAGUAUGAACUAAUUUACAUUAAAUGAGAAAUUAUUCCUUCAGUA